CUUCCUCCGGUAAAUUUCGAUGCACUCCCUUUCGGCAUCUGCGAGCAUGCGGUCUUUGUCUGCUUUACUUUCCCCAAUUUCCUCCCAAAUUUGCUGUGAUUCAAAAAAAGGGAAAAUAUGAGCCUUUCCUGAGAUCAAUAGAUUAUCAUCAGAGAAAUUAAAGAUGGAAGAAAUAAAACCUGAAGCUCUUCCAGCAAAGCACCACAGCUCCUGACCAUUCCAUCUGAGAUUCCCACCAUCACCUCUCCCUCCUCCAAGCCAACCCAAAAAGGAAGAAGAAAGGAAGGCAGAGAAGAUGAGGAAGCACAAAAGUUCUAGAAUUUAGAAGCUCCCAAGAGG